UAAGAUUGGAGGGUAUUUAAAUGGG
rnacentral:piRNA from 1 species